UUUUAGCCCCGAUAGUAGUGAAAAUCCUUUUGUUUUUUUCUUUAAAAAAUAAAAGAUUGUAACGGAUAGCGGGAUUAGCU
rnacentral:sRNA from 1 species